CAUUUCACCUGCCUCCAUGUGGGCGGAGCUACACAGGUGAUAAAGGCAGGUGAGGUGAGCAAAUUCAGACACAAACAUUGUAACCUCCUGUAAGUUAUGUUAACAUAAGUCUGCUGUAGGAAGAGGGAUACCAUAUCAAAUUCAUAGUGGAUUUAAUCUUUCCAAGACUACAGAAGACAGCAUCAGGCGGACUACCACAAAAUCCUCACCAUGGCAGCGAGAUACCCUUGGUGGCGGGCAUUUACCGUGAGGAAGAAGAAUAACACAAUAUCGACAGAUGAGCAAUCCGGGGGUGCCAAACCUGAUGGGGAAACUGCGUCUUCCAUCGCAUCUCCAGAUUCUGAAAAGGGGAAAUUUCACAAGGAAAUUUUUGAAGAGGCAGAGUUUGAGCCUAUGUUCAAUGAACAGACUUGCCGACGGAACCUCAACAUUUCUCGUUCGGGACGAUUUAAAGAAAAAAGAAGAGUUCGAGCGGCCAUUCCAGAUAACAGCAACUUUAACAAUGGAAAUGUCGGACUGGCUGUUGUUGCAAAAUAGAAUAUAAUGCACUAUAAUCACUGCCAAGUGACGAAGUGUACCUGUAGCUUUACAUUUACGUGUUUAAUGGACACUUUAGAGAGUACUUACUGCUAGUAAGGACAACAACUCAUUGUCAAUGAUUUAAAUAUGUAGUAUAUUCAAUAGGUGGGAUCAAAAUGAAGGAAUAGCUCAUCAUCAUCUUUUUACAUAUUCUAGUAAUUUAUUAGUAUGUGGGUUCGUCUGAAACAAUAUCACGUAUUACCUUGCUUAUACUUCUAGAAAGGGAUCGUGCAGUAUUGCAAAAGUAAAUCUACAUGUUUUUCUGAAUUUAGUUUAGUCUUUUGUUUUUACCUAAAUAACCUCUAAAUAUAUGUAAUUCUAAAUUGUAGGCCUAUGCAAAGUGAUUACAGUGUUUCUAUGCAAUGCUAUUCUAUGCUAUUCUAUUCUUUACAUGUUUGUUUUGAACAGAUGCACAUGCACAUCUCUCAAACUCUGUCUUUCACAAGCAUGUACAAAUUGCACACACGGUGACAUUAUGUUUUUGUCACACCAGACUCAGGUAUAUGAAGUAAUCAUUGUCAGUCGUUUAGUUUAAAACAUAUCUACAUAAUACUUAAUUCACAUGGAAUGUAGGCCCUAUAGCCUACAUCCUUUUUGUUUAACUUGAUAUUUAAAAUAACAGCAAAGAUUUACAGUUUCUCAUGUGUUUUAUUCCUAUUUGACAUUGCUAAACUAAAGGUUUUGAUUGUAUCAUUUGGUUCAAGGUUGAGGACUUUCGUUUUGCUCCAUGCCAAAACUCACAGAGCAAUUAAAAUGUCUUAACGGAGAUCAACUUAGGGCUGAAAUUCAUUUGGGCGUGGAUGGAAUUCGUACUCAAUGGCUCAAUGUCAGUAGAUUGAUAUGCAAAUGUGGUGAAACACAAACAAAUUGUUAAUGGGCUUGUCUACUUGGGGUGUGGUGAGGAAUGCUGCUGUCUUGCCAUACAAUAGAGUAGAUCACAAUUAAAAAGUGUAUAAACAGAA